ACCAUUGUGGCGUCGUGGUUUGAGUGUUGGUCUAUGACUCUGGAGACCAAGGUUCAAUUCCUGGCUCUGUCA